AUCCCAGGUGGAACCUUUUGUGUUUUUUCUGAUUCAUGGGAGGCAAAUACUGACAGUGGAAAUUGAACUUGUUAACACUCUUUUAAACUUGCAGAAUGUAUUUUACUAGGCUUUCCUAAUAUGU